GACGAACGCUGUCGGCGCGCCUAACACAUGCAAGUCGAACGGAGUUGCUGAAGCUGAAUUUUUCGGAAGGACGCAUUAGUAACUUAGUGGCGGACGGGUGAGUAACGCGUGAGUAACCUGCCUUUCAGAGGGGGAUAACGUUUGGAAACGGACGCUAAUACCGCAUAACAUAACGAGGUCGCAUGGCUUUGUUAUCAAAGGAGCAAUCCGCUUCAAGAUGGGUUCGCGUCUGAUUAGCUAGUUGGUGAGGUAAUGGCCCACCAAGGCAACGAUCAGUAGCCGGACUGAGAGGUCGAUCGGCCACAUUGGGACUGAGAUACGGCCCAGACUCCUACGGGAGGCAGCAGUGGGGAAUAUUGGGCAAUGGGCGAAAGCCUGACCCAGCGACGCCGCGUGGAGGAAGAAGGUUUUCGGAUUGUAAACUCCUGUCUUCGGGGAAGAUAAUGACGGUACCCGAGGAGGAAGCCACGGCUAACUACGUGCCAGCAGCCGCCGUAACAC
rnacentral:rRNA from 1 species